CAACGCUAGUACAGUGUGGUAUGAACAACAAUCCCUGUGCUUGGGCCUUGGCUAGACCCAAGAGCUUAUGGACUCCACUUGAAGGGUGUGUUUGUAGAAAAUGAGGGUGUGAUGAUGUACAAUUCGGGCCUAAGGCCUUCAAGGCCCAAAUAUGAAGAAAGCAGUGACAAGAAAACUCAGCCAAGGUCACACGCGAACUUGACUCCUUCCAUGAACAUGAACACGAAUUCACUAUUCAAAUUGAAAUCCAUACAAAUUGAAGGUUCAAACCUUAAAAUUAAACAAGAACGGGUCUUAAUCCAAAUUCACCAAUCACCUUUUGCAAACAUGGUUCUAGAUCUUCAAUCGAACUCCAAAAUAGUCACAAAACCGCAUUGAUUUAACUCCUCGCCUUCAAUUUGAUUCGCCAUGACUCAGAUUCGGUGGUUCAAGUUCGAUUCAAAAUUGAAGUGUGAAAUUGACGAAAAAUUGUGGAUGUUCAGAAGAGUUAUAGAUAAAUUAAGCUUGAAGCACUUACCGAAUUGGUGUUGACUUUACAGGUUGUAAUGGAAAGGUUCUUGGAGGUGUAAUGUGAAAAAUGGUGGUGGCUGCCAAGACAAUCAAAAAGCCCAAAGCUUAUCAAUUUUCAAUGUCAUCCAAUGUGACGUAAUGUAGUGUAACAUGCUAAUGUGAUGUGAUUGAAUUAUGUAAAAUGAUUCAAUGUAAUGCUUAUGUAAUGCAAUGCAUAUGGAUAAACCUAUGUAAUCAUGCUUGUAAUGAAAUGUAAACAAACUUUGUGAUCAAUGUAAAUCAAUGUUGUGCUUA